CAAAAAAGAAAUUGUAGAUCAUCAACUGAUGCAUAUUUAUUCAAAGAAACCGACUUGUUCUGCUUUUUCUUAGUAAAAUUGGUUGCUUGUUAUGUUGCAUUGUAUACUAUACACGAGAAUAAAUUCCACCAUAAUCAAAAAAUUGAACUGAGAAAAAAAUUUGAAAACCCAAACCAUAGAAACCUUUUAUAACACCAUUAAAUAGAAACUUAGAAUUAUUUUUGAAUACCAACAACAUGCCUUUCACGUUCUUUU